GACGAACGCUGGCGGCGUGCUUAACACAUGCCAGUCGAACGGAAAGGCCCUGCUUUUGUGGGGUGCUCGAGUGGCGAACGGGUGAGUAACACGUGAGUAACCUGCCCUUGACUUUGGGAUAACUUCAGGAAACUGGGGCUAAUACCGGAUAGGAGCUCCUGCUGCAUGGUGGGGGUUGGAAAGUUUCGGCGGUUGGGGAUGGACUCGCGGCUUAUCAGCUUGUUGGUGGGGUAGUGGCUUACCAAGGCUUGGACGGGUAGCCGGCCUGAGAGGGUGACCGGCCACAUUGGGACUGAGAUAGGGCCCAGACUCCUACGGGAGGCAGGGGUGGGGAAUAUUGCACAAUGGGCGGAAGCCUGAUGCAGCAACGCCGCGUGCGGGAUGACGGCCUUCGGGUUGUAAACCGCUUUCGCCUGUAACGGGGCGUGAGUGACGGUAAUGGGUAAAGAAGCACCGGCUAACUACGUG
rnacentral:rRNA from 1 species